ACUCACUGCUGUCAAUCUACUCACUGCUGUUAAUCUAUCUAUUACUGUUAAUCUAUCUACUACUGCUAAUCUAUCACUGCUAAUCUAUUACUGCUGUCAAUCUAUCUACUAUUAUCAAUCUAUCUAUUACUGUUAAUCUAUCUAUCACUGUUAAUCUAUCUACUACUGUUAAUUCAUUGCUACUAAUCUAUUGCUGCUAAUUUAUUAUUGUUAAUCUAUCACUGCUAAUCUAUCACUGCUAAUCUAUUACUGCUAAUCUAUUACUGUUAAUUUAUCACUGCUGCUAAUCUAUCUACUGCUGUCAAUCUAUCACUGCCAAUCUAUAUAGAGUAAAUCAUGAUCUCAUUUGAUCUCAUUUUGUAAAAUAAAAUUAAAUGGAAUUGAAAUUACUAAUUUAUUAGUAAAACAUGAUCUGAGACUAGAUUUAUAAUAUAAACAGUGUAAAGUGACUAAUUUACUAAAUACUAUAUGAGAUCAGAAUUAAGAUAUCUAAUAAUGGAAC
rnacentral:sRNA from 2 species